GCCAGCGGCCACCAGUCACUGCCACACACUGCCAUACACUGCCACUCACUGCCACUCACUGCCGCCAUGUGGCGCCCCGCGCACGUGCUGCUACUGCUGCCCGCGCUGCUGCUGCUCUGGAGUACCUCGGCGGAGGCGGGCCCACUAUUCGAGUCACUGAGUCUCCUUCCGAGUGCUGGCAACGUGUCGGAGCACCUGCAGCACCAGCUGGCCGCGCUGGACCUGCUCGCCGGCCUCGCCAGCCUCGCCGCCGACACGGCCGGCGCCGGCUAACAGCACUCAGUGUACAGUGUACCUGCGGGCGAGCGCGUGGCACGCGGUAGCGCCAACUUGAUGAAGCUACACCUGCACUAGUGCACGCCAUGCUGCGCGCUGCAAGUGCUGCAAGUCCUGUUCAGCAACAUAGUCACAUGUGCUCGCCAGCAUUAAGUACGUGUUACGUA